rnacentral:rRNA from 1 species
AUUGAACGCUGGCGGCAGGCCUAACACAUGCAAGUCGAGCGAGCGGCGCACGGGUGUGAAAUGUCUGUGAAACAGCCUGAUGGAGGGGGAUAACACCUGGAGACGGUAGCUAAUACCCCCUAUCAUCUGAUGUGUCCAGAUGGGGUUAGCUCGUAGGUGGGGUAAAGGCUCACCUAGGCGCCGAGCCCUAGCUGGUCUGAGAGGAUGACCAGCCACACUGGAACUGAGACACGGUCCAGACUCCUACGGUAGGCAGCAGUGGGGAAUAUUGCACAAUGGGCGCAAGCCUGAUGCAGCCAUGCCGCGUGUGUGAAGAAGGCCUUCGGGUUGUAAAGUACUUUCAGCGGGGAGGCGUUACCCGCAGAAGAAGCACCGGCUAACUCCGUGCCAGCAGCCGCGGUAAUAC